UAGCUCAGUGGCAUAAGCGCCUGCCUUGCAAGCAGGCAGUCCUGAGUUCAAUUCCCAG
rnacentral:tRNA from 1 species